rnacentral:rRNA from 1 species
GUCUGGAGCGCGCUGGGUCCACCCCGUCCCAUCCCGAACCGGGUCGUGCAACGGCGUAGCGCCAAGGGUACUGGGGGGAUGACCCUCUGGGAGACGAGGUCGAUGCACCUG